rnacentral:tRNA from 1 species
GCGGGCGUGGCGGAAUUGGUAGACGCGCUAGACUUAGGAUCUAGUGCCAUAUGGCGUGGGGGUUCGAGUCCCUUCGCCCGUA